rnacentral:rRNA from 1 species
UACGUAGGGGGCAAGCGUUGUCCGGAUUUAUUGGGCGUAAAGAGCGCGUAGGCGGUUUGGUAGGUCCGCUGUGAAAACUCGAGGCUCAACCUCGAGACGCCGGUGGAAACCAUCAGACUAGAGUCCGGAAGAGGAGAGUGGAAUUCCUGGUGUAGCGGUGAAAUGCGCAGAUAUCAGGAAGAACACCCGUGGCUAAGGCGGCUCUCUAGUACGGUACUGACGCUGAGACGCGAAAGCGUGGGGAGCGAACAGG